rnacentral:rRNA from 1 species
AACGAACGUUGGCGGCGUGGAUUAGGCAUGCAAGUCGAGCGAGAAAGCCACCUUCGGGUGGUGAGUAAAGCGGCGAACGGGUGAGUAACGCGUGGGGAACCUGCCCUCAGGUGGGGGAUAACACUCCUAACGGGGUGCUAAUACCGCAUGAUGCGGCUGGGUCGCAUGGCCCGGCCAUCAAAGGUGGCCUCUGAUAUAAGCUAUCGCCAGAGGAUGGCCCCGCGUCCGAUAGCUAGUUGGUGGGGUAAAGGCUCACCAAGGCUACGAUCGGUAGCUGGUCUGAGAGGAUGGUCAGCCACACUGGGACUGAGAUACGGCCCAGACUCCUACGGGAGGCAGCAGUCGAGAGGCUUCGGCAAUGGGGAAACCCUGACCGAGCGACGCCGCGUGGAGGAAGAAGGCCUGGU